rnacentral:tRNA from 1 species
UGGGGAAUAGCUCAGUGGUAGAGCACAUGCCUAGCAUGCACGAGGUCUUAGGUUCAAUCCCCAGUGCCUCCA